UCAUACACAAUGUCAAGCACAAUAUCUAAUCCUCAAUAUCAUUACAUGACUGAAACUAUACUUUUACAUAACAUUAAUACAUUUAUCAUGUCCACACUAUCUAUUACAUAAACCAGACUUCAUUACUCUUGUGAACCUCCUGGUCUACCCUGUACCUGCAAUCCUGGGGAAAUGGGAGAGGGGUGAGCUACUAGAGCCCAGUGAGCAGAAUAAUAAAAACAUUUAAAUCAUAUGGAUCAUGGAAUGCAUCACAUCACAGCUAAAUCACAUCAAGGAUGAACUUGUCACCAAUAGCCCUAUACAUGGUCCAACUGUGCCAGAACGUAGAAUGGGUCCUGGUCUUUCCCUUACAUAUCAUAACAUAACAGUGUCCAACUGUGCCAGAACGUAGAAUGAGUCCUGGUCUUUCCCUUACAUAGUGCCAGCGAACGUAGAAUGGGUCCCACUGGUCUUACUUUCCGUACCGUACAUAUCAUAUCGUCAUAUCAUAGAUCGAGGGCUAUGGAUCAUUCAACAUUCAUCCACAUCAACAUCAAAAUGUGCAAUGCAACAUAUACGUGAAUUCUAAUGCAAGCAACCUAAUUCAUCACAUGGCAUUCAUGAUGCGUGAAACAUGCUGAAAAGUUUAUUCUUUUCUUUAAAACAUAAUAAGUUAUUCCACUCACCUCUGGAUAGCUCUGACCAAACACUGGGGCAACAGACUCACUGCUGGGGUCCUCGGU
rnacentral:lncRNA from 1 species